rnacentral:snRNA from 1 species
UCAGCUCUCUUCGCCUUUUGGCUAAGAUCAAGUGAAGUAACUGUUCUUCUUAGUUUAAUCUCUAGGAUGUGCCUAAGGGUACCACAGUGAUUAAACCAGUUUUUGGAAACUGGUUGGCGGCCGCUGAACUUCGUUCAUGUCGCUGACCACGGUGUCGCUCGUAUUGCACUGUCUCGGGCUGACGCGAACCAAC